GAUGAAGAACGCAGCGAAAUGCGAUAAGUAGUGUGAAUUGCAGAAUUCAGUGAAUCAUCGAAUCUUUGAACGCACAUUGCGCCCUAUGGUAUUCCGUAGGGCAUGCCUGUUCGAGCGUCAUUCAACCCUUCAAGCUCUGCUUGGUGUUGGGCGUCUGUCCCGCCUCACGGCGCGGACUCGCCUCAAAUCUAUUGGCGGCCGGCACGUUGGCUUCGAGCGCAGCAGAAACGCGAACUCGAGGCCCGGCGGAUCGGCUCCCAGAAGCUACCCCCGAUGAAUUUGACCUCGGAUCAGGUAGGGAUACCCGCUGAACUUAAGCAUAUCAAUAAGCGGAGGA
rnacentral:misc_RNA from 1 species